AUUGUACUCCCUCUGUUCCAAAUUACUCGUCGCAGAAAUGGAUGUAUCUAGAACUAAAAUACAUCUAGAUACAUCCAUACCCGCGACAAGUAAUUCGGAACGGAGGGAGUAUCUC
rfam:Triticum urartu cultivar G1812 contig476114, whole genome shotgun sequence.